GAGUUUGAUCGUGGCUCAGAUUGAACGCUGGCGGCAUGCCUUACACAUGCAAGUCGAACGGCAGCAUGAUCUAGCUUGCUAGAUUGAUGGCGAGUGGCGAACGGGUGAGUAAUACAUCGGAACGUGCCCUGUAGUGGGGGAUAACUAGUCGAAAGAUUAGCUAAUACCGCAUACGACCUGAGGGUGAAAGUGGGGGACCGCAAGGCCUCAUGCUAUAGGAGCGGCCGAUGUCUGAUUAGCUAGUUGGUGGGUAAAGGCCCACCAAGGCGACGAUCAGUAGCUGGUCUGAGAGGACGAUCAGCCACACUGGGACUGAGACACGGCCCAGACUCCUACGGGAGGCAGCAGUGGGGAAUUUUGGACAAUGGGCGAAAGCCUGAUCCAGCAAUGCCGCGUGUGUGAAGAAGGCC
rnacentral:rRNA from 1 species